rnacentral:rRNA from 1 species
AACGAACGCUGGCGGCAGGCUUAACACAUGCAAGUCGAGUGCCCCGCAAGGGGAGCGGCAGACGGGUGAGUAACACGUGGGAACGUGCCCAAAGGUACGGAACAACUCCGGGAAACUGGAGCUAAUACCGUAUGUGCCCUUCGGGGGAAAGAUUUAUCGCCUUUGGAUCGGCCCGCGUCUGAUUAGCUAGUUGGUGGGGUAAUGGCCUACCAAGGCGACGAUCAGUAGCUGGUCUGAGAGGAUGAUCAGCCACACUGGGACUGAGACACGGCCCAGACUCCUACGGGAGGCAGCAGUGGGGAAUAUUGGACAAUGGGCGCAAGCCUGAUCCAGCCAUGCCGCGUGAGUGAUGAAGGCCUUAGGGUUGUAAAGCUCUUUCGCCAGGGACGAUAAUGACGGUACCUGGAUAAGAAGCCCCGGCUAACUUCGUGCCAGCAGCCGCAGUAAUAC